rnacentral:snRNA from 1 species
GUGCUCUCUCCGGCAGCACAUGUCCUAAAAUUGAAACAAUACGGAGCAGAUUAGCAUGGCUCAUGUGAAAAUAUGAUGUGCACAUUCUUAAAAAGCUCUACAUUUUG